AGUGGGGAACGGGUGAGUUAAGACAUAAUUAUUUUGCCCUUGAUGACUGGGAUAACUUUGGAAACGAAAGCUAAUACUGGAUGGUAUAUCUAUUGGAAGCAACUGAUAUGAAAAGGAUGGUUUACGCCAUCGCAUUGGGAUGAGUUUAUGGUGCAUUAGCUAGUUGGUGGGGUAAGGGCCUACCAAGGCGAUGAUGCAUAGCCGGCCUGAGAGGGUGACCGGCCACACUGGGACUGAGACACGGCCCAGACUCCUACGGGAGGCAGCAGUAGGGAAUUUUCGGCAAUGGAGGAAACUCUGACCGAGCGACACCGCGUGAGUGAAGAAGGUCUUCGGAUCGUAAAGCUCUGUUAUCAGGGAAGAAGAGGUCUACCAGGCAAUGGGUAGAUUGUGACGGUACCUGAUCAGAAAGUCACGGCUAACUACGUGCCAGCAGCCGCGGUAAUACGUAGGUGACAAGCGUUAUCCGGAAUUAUUGGGCGUAAAGGGUGCGUAGGCGGCCUCUUAAGUAUAAGGUUAAAGUUCAGAGCUCAACUCUGUGAUGCCUUGUAAACUGGGAGGCUUGAGUACAGGAGAGGUGAGUGGAAUUCCAUGUGUAGCGGUAAAAUGCGUAGAGAUAUGGAGGAACACCAGUGGCGAAGGCGGCUCACUGGCCUGUAACUAACACUGAGGCGCGAAAGCGUGGGGAGCAAAUAGGAUUAGAUACCCUAGUAGUCCACGCCGUAAACGAUGGAUGCUAAGUGUUGGGGGAACUCAGUGCUGCAGUUAACGCAAUA
rnacentral:rRNA from 1 species